GGCCAGUUAGCUCAAUUGGUUAGAGCGUGGUGCUGAAAACACCAAGGUCUAGGGUUCAAUCCCCGUACUUGGCA